rnacentral:rRNA from 1 species
CCUACGGGAGGCAGCAGUGGGGAAUUUUGGACAAUGGGCGCAAGCCUGAUCCAGCAAUGCCGCGUGAGUGAAGAAGGCCUUCGGGUUGUAAAGCUCUUUUGUCAGGGAAGAAACGGUGGGGGCUAAUAUCUCCUACUAAUGACGGUACCUGAAGAAUAAGCACCGGCUAACUACGUGCCAGCAGCCGCGGUAAUACGUAGGGUGCAAGCGUUAAUCGGAAUUACUGGGCGUAAAGCGUGCGCAGGCGGUUUUGUAAGUCUGUCGUGAAAGCCCCGGGCUCAACCUGGGAAUUGCGAUGGAGACUGCAAGGCUUGAAUCUGGCAGAGGGGGGUAGAAUUCCACGUGUAGCAGUGAAAUGCGUAGAGAUGUGGAGGAACACCGAUGGCGAAGGCAGCCCCCUGGGUCAAGAUUGACGCUCAUGCACGAAAGCGUGGGGAGCAAACAGGAUUAGAUACCCUGGUAGUCCACGCCCUAAACGAUGUCUACUAGUUGUCGGGUUUUAAUUAACUUGGUAACGCAGCUAACGCGUGAAGUAGACCGCCUGGGGAGUACGGUCGCAAGAUUAAAACUCGAAAGGAAUUGACGG